rnacentral:tRNA from 1 species
CGGGCCGGCGUGGCGGAAUGGCAGACGCGGAGCACUCAAAAUGCUUUGUCCGAAAGGGCGUGUGGGUUCCGGUCCCGCGCGGCCCGA